ACAAUGAAAUAAGAAUAAAAAUAAACUGACUACGGAUCAGGAGGUUAGGGGUUCGACUCCCUUCGGGUGUGCCA
rnacentral:tRNA from 1 species